rnacentral:SRP_RNA from 1 species
CUCGUACCUCAUCUCGAACGACCUGCUGGGCGCGUUCGCCGCGCACAAGUCGUCAUCGUCGUUUUCGUCGUCGGAGGGAGGGGAUGCAAGUCUGAAUGCCGCCGGGGAGGCGAACGGAAGCAAGGAGGAAAUGCAGCCAGGCAAACAGCCCGGUCCGGAGGGCGA